rnacentral:rRNA from 1 species
AUUGAACGCUGGCGGCAUGCCUUACACAUGCAGGUCGAACGGUAACAGGUCUUCGGAUGCUGACGAGUGGCGAACGGGUGAGUAAUACAUCGGAACGUGGCUAGUAGUGGGGGAUAACUACUCGAAAGAGUGGCUAAUACCGCAUGAGAUCUACGGAUGAAAGCAGGGGAUCGCAAGACCUUGUGCUACUAGAGCGGCCGAUGGCAGAUUAGGUAGUUGGUGGGAUAAAAGCUUACCAAGCCGACGAUCUGUAGCUGGUCUGAGAGGACGAUCAGCCACACUGGGACUGAUACACGGCCCAGACUCCUACGGGAGGCAGCAGUGGGGAAUUUUGGACAAUGGGCGAAAGCCUGAUCCAGCAAUGCUGCGUGCAGGAUGAAGGCCUUCGGGUUGUAAACUGCUUUUGUACGGAACGAAAAGCCCCGGGUUAAUACCCUGGGGUCAUGACGGUACCGUAAGAAUAAGCACCGGCUAACUACGUGCCAGCCGCCGCCGUAA